rnacentral:rRNA from 1 species
GACGAACGCUGGCGGCGUGCUUAACACAUGCAAGUCGAACGGAAAGGCCCUGCUUUUGUGGGGUGCUCGAGUGGCGAACGGGUGAGUAACACGUGAGUAACCUGCCCUUGACUUUGGGAUAACUUCAGGAAACUGGGGCUAAUACCGGAUAGGAGCUCCUGCUGCAUGGUGGGGGUUGGAAAGUUUCGGCGGUUGGGGAUGGACUCGCGGCUUAUCAGCUUGUUGGUGGGGUAGUGGCUUACCAAGGCUUUGACGGGUAGCCGGCCUGAGAGGGUGACCGGCGACAAUGGGACUGAGAGACGGCCCAGACUCCAACGGGAGGCAGCAGGGGGGAAUAUUGCACAAUGGGGGGAAGCCUGAUGCAGCAACGCCGCGUGCGGGAUGACGGCCUUCGGGUUGUAAACCGCUUUCGACUGUGACGAAGCGUGAGUGACGGUAAUGGGUAAAGAAGCACCGGCUAACUACGUG